rnacentral:hammerhead_ribozyme from 1 species
GCACUGCUGAUGAGUCCCACAAUAGGACGAAAUGGACGUCCAGUGC